rnacentral:ribozyme from 1 species
UUUUUUUUUUUUUUUUUUUUUUCUUGUCUGAGUCUCAUCAUGUUUCCCAACUUGUGCAA